rnacentral:rRNA from 1 species
UACGAAGGGGGCUAGCGUUGUUCGGAAUCACUGGGCGUAAAGCGCACGUAGGCGGAUCUUUAAGUCAGGGGUGAAAUCCCGAGGCUCAACCUCGGAACUGCCUUUGAUACUGGGGAUCUCGAGUCCGGGAGAGGUGAGUGGAACUGCGAGUGUAGAGGUGAAAUUCGUAGAUAUUCGCAAGAACACCAGUGGCGAAGGCGGCUCACUGGCCCGGAACUGACGCUGAGGUGCGAAAGCGUGGGGAGCAAAAAGG